rnacentral:rRNA from 1 species
UACGUAGGGGGCUAGCGUUAUCCAGAUUUACUGGGCGUAAAGAGCGUGUAGGCGGUUUGGUAGGUCCGCUGUGAAAACUCGAGGCUCAACCUCGAGACGCCGGUGGAAACCAUCAGACUAGAGUCCGGAAGAGGAGAGUGGAAUUCCUGGUGUAGCGGUGAAAUGCGCAGAUAUCAGGAAGAACACCCGUGGCUAAGGCGGCUCUCUAGUACGGUACCUGACGCUGAGACGGCGAAAAGCGUGGGGAGCGAAACAGG